UACGGGGGGGGCAAGCGUUGUUCGGAAUUACUGGGCGUAAAGGGCUCGUAGGUGGCCAACUAAGUCGGACGUGAAAUCCCUCGGCUUAACUGGGGAACUGCGUCCGAUACUGGAUGGCUUGAGUUUGGGAGAGGGAUGCGGAAUUCCAGGUGUAGCGGUGAAAUGCGUAGAUAUCUGGAGGAACACCGGUGGCGAAGGCGGCAUCCUGGACCAACACUGACACUGAGGAGCGAAAGCCAGGGGAGCAAACGGG
rnacentral:rRNA from 1 species